rnacentral:ncRNA from 1 species
UCCGGAGUAUCGGUGGUUAAGGCUACCGAUAGUGAGACUUGUAAAUUCAGUAACCUACUGGUAGAGUAAAAGAACGUGAGGGAAUAAAGGCGUACCUUAUGUUUCUGCUAGUUAAUUACCCGGUUGUCAUAAUGUUUACUUAGGUGUAUCCGUUUUGAUAAUUAAUAAAGUGGUUACUUUUUUG